AUUGAACGCUGGCGGCAUGCUUUACACAUGCAAGUCGAACGGUAACAGGCCUUCGGGUGCUGACGAGUGGCGAACGGGUGAGUAAUGCAUCGGAACGUGCCCAGAGGUGGGGGAUAACGCAGCGAAAGCUGUGCUAAUACCGCAUGUGAUCUGAGGAUGAAAGCGGGGGACCAAGCAGCAAUGUUUGGCCUCGCGCCUCUGGAGCGGACGAUGUCAGAUUAGGUAGUUGGUGGGGUAAAGGCCUACCAAGCCGACGAUCUGUAGCUGGUCUGAGAGGACGACCAGCCACACUGGGACUGAGACACGGCCCAGACUCCUACGGGAGGCAGCAGCGGGGAAUUUUGGACAAUGGGCGCAAGCCUGAUCCAGCAAUGCCGCGUGCGGGAAGAAGGCCUUCGGGUUGUAAACCGCUUUUGUACGGAACGAAAAGGCUCUGGCUAAUACCUGGGGCUGAUGACGGUACCGUAAGAAUAAGCACCGGCUAACUACGUG
rnacentral:rRNA from 1 species